rnacentral:ncRNA from 1 species
UCGAGAGUAUUGCAAGUCCUGUUGCUUGCAGUAGGGUGAUAUGUAAAUUCAGCAAUCCACUGGCGGAGUAAUGUCGUAUAGGACUACGUGUUGUGCGGUUAUGCGCCGCCUGCACCCCGAGCUACGUUUCCGUUAGUUAUCCACACCAGUCUGUAUGGGGACCGAGCAGGGCAUCCUGUUUUGAUAGGGAUGAUUCCACUCUUUUCCGGUACAUUCAUUUCAGUGAUUGCUUUUUCC